AGAGUGACAGGAGAGCUCCUAGGGAGCUGAUGUCUUUUGGAUGUGGGCAGAUGGCAGGAAUUGAAGAAAGAAGAAUUUAAACGCUGGUUGAUCCAGAGCUCAGAGACCUGGCAUUGCCACGAAGGAAGGCACGGCACAAUCAGAAGUGCCUGGGGAAGCCAGAAGAGGGUGUUGGAUCUCCUGGGACUUGAAAGAGAGGCAACUGAUGUGGGUGCCUGAAAUAGACUAUGGGUCUGGAAGAAGCUGCUGAGUCAUUGCUCUGUGACUGAAUCUAUAUACAAGAGAUCCAAUGAUACACAGACUCUCCAACCUCAACAUGUUCAAAGAGAGUGGAGGAAAGGGCACAAAACAGAAUCUCUCUGGCUGUUCUUUAUGUUGGCCUCCUGACCAGGACUGAAUGACUCAGGGGUGAGGGUCCAUCCAUUUGCCUACAACCACUCUGGAAAUCAUUCUGGCGGUUCCUCAGAAAAUUGGACAUAGUACUACCGGAGGAUCCAGCAAUACCUCUCCUGGGCAUAUAUCCAGAAGAUGUUCCAACAGCUUCUCUUAUAGGCUUAAUAACAAGGAAGUGGAAGUCCUUAUACUGCUUUACAAGGCUCAUGACCUGGAAUUCUUGCACAGGAGGAACUCCACCUUUCCUUGUGCUUGUCAAGCAAAAUUUGUGAAUUAUUGUCCAGAUGCCACAAUCUAAGAGAAGAGAAAGCAUGCAGCCCAGGUUGAUUUGGAGCUCACUUGAAGGCCCAUACUCAUUCAGUUUCAGGAAGAGGCAGGAACCCGCCCAGCUGAUGCCCCAAUGCUCCUCCUACCUGCGUCCUCCCCACCCUGCAGUGCCAGGGCCAGACCCACACAAAGGCAAUGAGAGCCCACCAUGCGCCCUGAACUCUUGCCCUGCUGACUUCUAUUGUGAACAGCAGGCAAUGGGAUCCAGAAGAGGCUGUAAAUUUCCAGAUGUUCCCACAUAGUUAACAGAGACUGAGGAAUGACACUCAGUUAUUAUUCUCUGCUAUGGUAAGCAGUCAUAAAUCAAUAUAAAAGGUAAAAACCAUAAGAUCUGAGUUACAGUAUUUGCAUGUUUUGAUAUAUUUUGUUAUUGUUCAUUCCCUCCUUAUUCAUAGACAUAAAAAUCAAAAAGUCGAGGAACAGUGGUACACUCUUAUAACCCCAGCACUCAGAAGGCUGACAUAGAAAAUAGACAGUUCUAGGCCAGCUUGUGCUACAUGGGUGAGUUUUGUGACCAACCUGGGCUAUAUGAGAUAAAACAAUUAAAAACAAAACACCCAUGGAAGGAGUUACAAAGUUUGGAGCUGUGACAAAAGGAUGGACCAUCUAGAGACUGCCAUAUCCGGGGAUCCAUCCCAUAAUCAGCUUCCAAACGCUGACACCAUUGCACACACUAGCAAGAUUUUGCUGAAAGGACCCAGAUAGAGCUGUCUCUUGUGAGACUAUGCCGGGGCCUAGCAAACACAGAAGUGGAUGCUCACAGUCAGCUAUUGGAUGGAUCACAGGGCCCCGAAUGGAGGAGCUAGAGAAAGUAUCAAGGAGCUAAAGGGAUCUGCAACCCUAUAGGUGGAACAACAUUAUGAACUAACCAGUACCCCGGAGCUCUUGACUCUAGCUGCAUAUGUAUCAAAAGAUGACCUAGUCGGCUAUCACUGGAAAGAGAGGCCCUUUGGUCGUGCAAACUUCAUAUGCCCCAGGACAGGGGAAUGCCAGGGCCAAAAAGUGGGAGUGGGUGGGUAGGGGAGUUGGGGGGAGGGUAUGGGGGACUUUUGGGAUAGCAUUGGAAAUGUAAAUGAGGAAAAUACCUAAUAAAAAUAUUUAAAAUUUUUUUGAAAUUUAAAAAAAG
rnacentral:lncRNA from 1 species